rnacentral:rRNA from 1 species
ACGAGUUUGAUCCUGGCUCAGAUUGAACGCUGGCGGAAUGCUUUACACAUGCAAGUCGAACGGUAGAGGGGGCAACCCUUGAGAGUGGCGAACGGGUGAGUAAUAUAUCGGAACGUGCCCAGUCGUGGGGAUAACGUAGCGAAAGUUACGCUAAUACCGCAUACGAUCUAAGGAUGAAAGCGGGGGAUCGCAAGACCUCGCGCGAUUGGAGCGGCCGAUAUCAGAUUAGGUAGUUGGUGAGGUAAAGGCUCACCAAGCCAACGAUCUGUAGCUGGUCUGAGAGGACGACCAGCCACACUGGGACUGAGACACGGCCCAGACUCCUACGGGAGGCAGCAGUGGGGAAUUUUGGACAAUGGGCGCAAGCCUGAUCCAGCAAUGCCGCGUGCAGGAUGAAGGCCUUCGGGUUGUAAACUGCUUUUGUACGGAACGAAACGGUGAGCUCUAAUACAGUUUGCUAAUGACGGUACCGUAAGAAUAAGCACCGGCUAACUACGUG